rnacentral:tRNA from 1 species
GUUUUUAUAGUUUACACAAAACACUAGAUUGUGAUUCUAGAAAUAGAGACUACUCUUGAAAACC